GUGGGAACGUGCCUUUAGGUUCGGAAUAGCUCCUGGAAACGGGUGGUAAUGCCGAAUGUGCCCUUCGGGGGAAAGAUUUAUCGCCUUUAGAGCGGCCCGCGUCUGAUUAGCUAGUUGGUGAGGUAACGGCUCACCAAGGCGACGAUCAGUAGCUGGUCUGAGAGGAUGACCAGCCACACUGGGACUGAGACACGGCCCAGACUCCUACGGGAGGCAGCAGUGGGGAAUCUUGCGCAAUGGGCGAAAGCCUGACGCAGCCAUGCCGCGUGAAUGAUGAAGGUCUUAGGAUUGUAAAAUUCUUUCACCGGGGACGAUAAUGACGGUACCCGGAGAAGAAGCCCCGGCUAACUUCGUGCCAGCAGCCGCGGUAAUACGAAGGGGGCUAGCGUUGCUCGGAAUUACUGGGCGUAAAGGGCGCGUAGGCGGAUCGUUAAGUCAGAGGUGAAAUCCCAGGGCUCAACCCUGGAACUGCCUUUGAUACUGGCGAUCUUGAGUAUGAGAGAGGUAUGUGGAACUCCGAGUGUAGAGGUGAAAUUCGUAGAUAUUCGGAAGAACACCAGUGGCGAAGGCGACAUACUGGCU
rnacentral:rRNA from 1 species